AGCCAUGCAUGUCUAAGUAUAAACUGUUUUAUACUGUGAAACUGCGAAUGGCUCAUUAAAUCAGUUAUAGUUUAUUUGAUGGUACCUACUUACUCGGAUAACCGUAGUAAAUCUAGAGCUAAUACGUGCGUACAUCCCGACUUCUGGAAGGGACGUAUUUAUUAGAUAAAAGCCCGACCGGGCUUUGCCCGACUCGCGGUGAAUCAUGAUAACUUCACGAAUCGCACGGCCUUGCGCCGGCGAUGUUUCAUUCAAAUUUCUGCCCUAUCAACUUUUGAUGGUAGGAUAGAGCCCUGCCAUGGUGGUAACGGGUGACGGAGGAUUAGGGUUCGAUUCCGGAGAGGGAGCCUGAGAAACGGCUCCCACUAUCCAAAGGAAGGCAGCAGGCGCGCUAAAUUACCC
rnacentral:rRNA from 1 species